GUCCUUGUCGAUUAGUGGUUAGAUCAUCACGUUGUGGCCAUCGCAAAGACUCGGGAACGGGAACCGUGAAGACGGAGGCUCGAAUCCUCCCUGGGACA